rnacentral:rRNA from 1 species
AUUGAACGCUGGCGGCAGGCCUAACACAUGCAAGUCGAGCGGAUGAAGUUAGCUUGCUCCUGGAUUCAGCGGCGGACGGGUGAGUAAUUCCUAGGAAUCUGCUUGGUAUUGGGGGAUAACGUCCGGAAACGGGCGCUAAUACCGCAUACGUCCUGAGGGUUAAAGUUGGGGAUCUUCGGACCUCACUCUAUCAGAUGAGCCUAGGUCGGAUUAGCUAGUUGGUGGGGUAAAGGCCUACCAAGGCGAUGAUCCGUAACUGGUCUGAGAGGAGGAUCAGUCAGACUGGAACUGGAAAACGGUCAAGACUCCUACGGGAGGCAGCAGUGGGGAAUAUUGGACAAUGGGGGAAAGCCUGAUCAAGACAGGCCGCGUGUGUGAAGAAGGUCUUCGGAUUGUAAAGAACGUUAAGUGGGGAGAAAGGGCAGUAAGUUGAUACCUUGCUGUAGUGACGGUAACAACAGAAUAAGCACCGGCUAACUACGUG